GGAGGAAAAGAAACCAACAGGGAUUGCCUCAGUAACGGCGAGUGAAGCGGCAAAAGCUCAAAUUUGAAAUCUAGCACCUUCGGUGUUCGAGUUGUAAUUUGAAGAUGGUAACCUUGGGUUUGGCUCUUGUCUAUGUUCCUUGGAACAGGACGUCAUAGAGGGUGAGAAUCCCGUCUGAUGAGAUGCCCAUUCCUAUGUAAGGUGCUAUCGAAGAGUCGAGUUGUUUGGGAAUGCAGCUCUAAGUGGGUGGUAAAUUCCAUCUAAAGCUAAAUAUUGGCGAGAGACCGAUAGCGAACAAGUACAGUGAUGGAAAGAUGAAAAGAACUUUGAAAAGAGAGUGAAAAAGUACGUGAAAUUGUUGAAAGGGAAGGGCAUUAGAUCAGACUUGGUGUUUUACGAUUAUCUUCUCUUCUUGAGUUGUGCACUCGUAUUUCACUGGGCCAGCAUCGAUUCGGAUGGCAAGAUAAUGGCAGUUGAAUGUGGCUUCACUUCGGUGGAGUGUUAUAGCUUCUGCUGAUAUUGCCUGUCUGGAUCGAGGGCUGCGUCUUUUGACUAGGAUGCUGGCGUAAUGAUCUAAUGCCGCCCGUCU
rnacentral:rRNA from 1 species